GGAGUCCUCCUCAAUGCCAGUUGAUGGUAAUUUUCAGCCGAACUGAGCAUAACUCUUAAUGGACUCAUAGGAAAAGGUAUUAACUAUCCUUGUGCUUGAAGAUAAAACCACUUCCCGCUCUCCUGGAACUUAAUUCGACAUUU
ensembl:snoRNA snoRNA:Psi28S-1135c snoRNA:Psi28S-1135c